CAUCUCUACCAGAUGUUUGACUGAACUUAGUAAAUUUUCGUCCGGUUAGCUGCUCUGCCGAUGUAUUGAAAUCUCAAUUAGUGAGAAUGACUACGCUGAGACCCUUCACUUGUGACGAUCUUUUCAAAUUCAACAAUGUGAAUUUUGACCCACUUACGGAAACCUACGGACUCUCCUUCUAUACUCAGUACCUGGCGAAGUGGCCGGAGUACUUUCAGCUGGCCGAAUCCCCUAGUGGUCAAAUAAUGGGCUACAUUAUGGGCAAAGUAGAGGGACACCUGGACAACUGGCACGGACAUGUGACGGCUCUAACUGUGUCGCCCGACUACAGACGGCUCGGUUUAGCUGCCCUACUGAUGAACUUCUUGGAAGACAUAUCGGAGAAGAAGCGGGCGUACUUUGUGGAUCUGUUUGUGCGCAAGAGCAACCAGGUGGCCAUUAACAUGUACAAGAACCUAGGCUACAUCAUCUACCGCACCAUACUCGAAUACUACUCGGGCGAUCAGGACGAGGAUGCGUAUGAUAUGAGAAAGGCCCUAUCGAGGGAUGUCAACAAGAAAUCGGUGAUACCGUACACGCAACCUGUACGAUUGGAAGAUAUAGAUAUGAAUUGAUAUGAACCCACUAGUGCCCGCAUUCGCAUUUAUGUCUAACUGGUCGAGAUUCAUAAUUUCAAAAGGGCACGCGUACAUUAAAACGCUAUCCGUUGAUUAGUAUUUAGAUACAAUUCGUAAAUAAUCUAAAACUGUUAGCUUUUUCCGGUGGUAACAAGAAAAUCUAUCCCAUUGACUGCCUGCCUAUGCCUAUGUACAAUGAGAUCCACCAAAAAAAAAAAACCCAAAUUACUCUUCAUUAAUACCUCUAGUCUAUCUAAGGCCUUGACGUUUCUAUAAUUUUAUUGAAUUUGAAAUUAUUUAAAGAUUUCUUAAGCCGCAUCGGUAAAUAACCAUGUUUGAAUAGAAUGUUCAACACGUCUGAAGAUCACAAUGCGCGAGCUGCGCCACCAAACCAAUCACUAGCUCUAGCAGCAAUACACCUUAGUUCACUCAUUCAAAUACAUAAACGUAUCGUAUAUUUGUAGAAAACAAAUUCCCAUUACGGUGUUUUUCGACGAUUUCUGAAUUGUGAAAGACUAUGUUUUGCCCAAAAUUGUAACACAUAAGUACAUAUGUAUUUAGUUUUUAAAAAUUAAACAUGUUCAACAGC